AUUGAACGCUGGCGGCAGGCCUAACACAUGCAAGUCGAGCGAGCGGCGGACGGGUGAGUAAUGUCUGGGAAACUGCCUGAUGGAGGGGGAUAAGUACUGGAAACGGUAGCUAAUACCGCAUACCAUCAGAUGUGCCCAGAUGGGAUUAGCAAGUAGGUGGGGUAACGGCUCACUUAGGCGACAAUACCUAGCUGGUCUGAGAGGAUGACCGGCAACAUUGGAACUGAGACACGGUCCAGACGCCUACGGGAGGCAGAGGUGGGGAAUAUUGCACAAUGGGCGCAAGCUGAACGCAGCCAGGCCGGGUGUGUGAAGAAGGUCUGCGGGUUGUAAAGCACUUUCAGCGGGGAGGCGUUACCCGCAGAAGAAGCACCGGCUAACUCCGUGCCAGCAGCCGCGGUAAUUC
rnacentral:rRNA from 1 species